ACCUUGUGCUUGCAAGGCAGGCACCGGAACCACUGAGCUAAAUCCCCAGCCCAAUUAACCCUUUUCUAUUAGUCAAGACAAAGUAAUACUACUCAAUAUGUCAUGAAUAUAUUUUAACAGUUGGGCAAACAGAAAGUGGGGUAUAUUUGAGGCUGACUAAACUGGCACCAAGAAAGAAAGCUCCAAGUCGGUAAAAGCAAGAAAAGGAGAAAAGCAGAAAGAAUACUAAGUUCUUGCACAGACAGGCAGGCUAUGAGUUUCCUAUCAGAAAGCUGAAGGAUCCAGUCUGUCUCCUUUGUAUGAAAACCCACUCACACAAUGACCUGUACGUUUCUGAGGAGGAAGCCAUGUCUCACACUCCACGUGAUCGGCAUGACAGGGAGCAAGGCAGGCCAGGUCCUUGCUCUGUGGAAACUGUGCAAACAUGGAUUCCUGUGGACUCUUUCCCUCCUAACUCCUGGACUCCUCGAAUGUGCACUUCCCCUUCUUGUGCACAGCCCUCUGCAUCACUGCUUUCUCUUGCUCCCGUAUUCCAGCUGCUAACUCCUACCUAUCCCUCCCUCCUUGUGACAUCACUUCUCAAGUGGCCCUGGUGGUGUCAGGGCCCAGGUCUCCAGUCACAAUGCUGCACACUGGGAAGGCUGUGGUUCCACACUUAAUUGUGUGGCUGCUUGGUUGUCAAUUUUUCGCUCUGUUCUGGGAACCCGUAAGGCCAGUGCCUGACAUACCUUUCUAGCUAAGCCCUGCAGUGCAGUUUGCAAAGGGAGCAAUCACAUUGGACUUAAGGGGGAAAAGGUAUUCUUUGUGUGCAGCAAUGUCACCUAUGACUAAGGCUUUCUUUGUGCACUGGGAAUCAGGACACGUAAGUGUGUGCCUCAUAGCUGAUGGCUGCUGUCACUAGCUGGUACCAAGUCAUCAACAGCCCAAUAAAGGUUGCCGCUGCCCAGUUGGGAAGACAGCUGAAGCAAAUGCUAGAAACCAAGAAACCAAGUGCACAUAAUAGGUAAAUUUGAGACCCAGAGUUCAUUCUUUUUUCCCCCUGGUGUUUAUGAUUAAACCAGGGCCUUGUGCACACUAGGCAAAUGCCCUACCGCUAAACCCAAGACACAGAUUUCACUUUAACACAAAAGCCUUAAAGCCAAGUUUUGCUUUUUAUUUUUUCGAUUCUGGCUCUUGGAAGGAAAGAACAAUUCAUGCUGUUCUGGGAAAUGCCAAAAGAAUUCAGAACCAGCAUCCAUUCUAAGAAGGACUUGGUCUAAGAAUCCAGAUUCCCUGGUGAACUGAGGAAGAGGAGAAAAAUGGAAGAGUCUGUACUAUCAUGGUGCCUGGCUGGUAGAAUCAACACUUGGAGUGGCUCGUGUUUGGUGAUGGCGAUUUUUAAUUCUGGCACCUCAGCCCUUUCCACGUAGACCAGCUGGCAAACGUCAUCUUCUAUGGAGUUGAACUGGCGGCCAUUGCAUGCCGUAUAAAAACUGUCUGCAUCAGCCUGUGCACCCCAGUGGGGAAGAGGAAAUAAGACAGAAUGACUGAAAAUCUGCUUCAUAUUCCAGAUGUAUAACUUCGAUUGUUUACCUCAUCAGCUUUGUAAAUCUAUGCUAAGGAGACAAAACAACUGCCAGAAAGAGGUAACAACUACUGAGGCAGGCUGCUGAGCUGAUUACACUCUGCAGGGCAGUCUCCAGCAGCUUGGCAGUGUUUCCUGGGCUACAUGUGAGUUUUGACUCGGACUGGCAGGAAGUAUUGAGGUGUAGGAAGAUGAAAGUACAAUUUUAAUAUUCAACCAGCCGUGGUCCACAUUUCCCUUGAUAAGUUUUUCUCCUCUAGCCUUCACUUCUGCAGCAGCUGAGAAAACAUGCUUCUAUAAAGCUUGUAACCAAAUCAUAACUGAUGACAGCUAUGGAAGAAUUCUUUUAAAGAAAUCUAUCAGCAUUCAUCUUUUAAAACAAAACAACAACAACAAAAAAGGAGUAUGUGGUGAAAACCCAACUCCUUUUCAAUAAAUCAAAUAAUACAUCACAUAACUCAUGAUAUAUAUAAUGUAUGAUAGUUCCAUAAGGAUCCCAUCAGGAGUGUCCAAUAUCAAAAGCAAAACUCUUGGUGAUGGUCAAACAGUCCAAAAUAAACCAGUUUUUAGAAUACUAAUAGUCACCAGCUGGGCAUGGUUGUGCAUGCUGGUAAUCCCAGCACUUGGUAGGCUGGGGCAGGAGAAUUACCACAAGUUCAAGGCCAACCUGUAUUAAAAAAAAAA